UACGUAGGGUGCGAGCGUUAAUCGGAAUUACUGGGCGUAAAGGGUGCGUAGGUGGAUCUAUAAGUCAGUGGUGAAAGCCCCGAGCUCAACUUGGGAAUUGCCAUUGAUACUGUAGAUCUUGAGUGCGGUUGAGGUAGGCGGAAUGUUGCAUGUAGCGGUGAAAUGCUUAGAUAUGCAACAGAACACCGAUUGCGAAGGCAGCUUACCAAGCCGAUACUGACACUGAGGCACGAAAGCGUGGGGAUCAAACAGG
rnacentral:rRNA from 1 species